UACAGAGGGGGCAAGCGUUAUUCGGAAUUAUUGGGCGUAAAGGGCGCGUAGGCGGCCUUGCAAGUGGCGGGUGAAAUCCCUCGGCUUAACCGAGGAACUGCCUGCCAGACUGCUUGGCUUGAGACCGGGAGAGGUGAGUGGAAUUCCCAGUGUAGCGGUGAAAUGCGUAGAUAUUGGGAGGAACACCAGUGGCGAAGGCGGCUCACUGGACCGGAACUGACGCUGAGGCACGAAAGCGUGGGGAGCAAACAGG
rnacentral:rRNA from 1 species